rnacentral:rRNA from 1 species
AUUGAACGCUGGCGGCAUGCUUUACACAUGCAAGUCGAGCGGCAGCGCGGGGGCAACCCUGGCGGCGAGCGGCGAACGGGUGAGUAAUGCAUCGGAACGUAUCCUCGAGUGGGGGAUAACCCAGCGAAAGUUGGGCUAAUACCGCAUGAGCUCUGAGGAGGAAAGCGGGGGACCUGCGAGGGCCUCGCGCUGGAGGAGCGGCCGAUGUCCGAUUAGCUCGUUGGUGGGGUAAAGGCUUACCAAGGCGACGAUCGGUAGCUGGUCUGAGAGGAUGAUCAGCCACACUGGGACUGAGACACGGCCCAGACUCCUACGGGAGGCAGCAGUGGGGAAUUUUGGACAAUGGGGGCAACCCUGAUCCAGCCAUGCCGCGUGAGUGAAGAAGGCCUUCGGGUUGUAAAGCUCUUUCGGACGGAACGAAAUGGGCGGGACUAAUACUCCUGUCUGAUGACGGUACCGUAAGAAGAAGCACCGGCUAACUACGUG